rnacentral:rRNA from 1 species
CCUACGGGGGGCAGCAGUGAGGAAUAUUGGUCAAUGGACGAGACUCUGAACCAGCCAAGUAGCGUGAAGGAUGACUGCCCUAUGGGUUGUAAACUUCUUUUAUGCAGGCAUAAACUGAGGCACGUGUGCCUUUUUGCAUGUACUUUAUGAAUAAGGACCGGCUAAUUCCGUGCCAGCAGCCGCGGUAAUACGGAGGAUCCGGGCGUUAUCCGGAUUUAUUGGGUUUAAAGGGAGCGUAGAUGGGUUGUUAAGUCAGUUGUGAAAUGCAGCGGCUCAACCGUGACACUGCAAUUGAUACUGGCGGUCUUGAGUGCGGUUGAGGUAGGCGGAAUUCGUGGUGUAGCGGUGAAAUGCUUAGAUAUCACGAAGAACCCCGAUUGCGAAGGCAGCUUACUAAACCGUUACUGACACUGAGGCUCGAAAGUGUGGGUAUCAAACAGGAUUAGAUACCCGUGUAGUC